rnacentral:lncRNA from 1 species
GGCUGGUCCCCUUUCCUCUAAGGCUUUGAGGUUCCCCCUCCAGGACCAUGGCUUCCCAGGGUAUGGGUUCUUUCCUCUUUCACUGCUCCCUCUCCCGUGUGCUGGUGCUAUCCUGCUUGCUUUAUUUCCCCUCUCCUGUUUUUUUGUUUUUUUCCUUUUCUUCUACCCAGUUAUGUGAAAGGUUUCUUACCAUUUUUUGGAGGUUUAAGGUCUUCUGCCAGAUUUCAGUAGAUAUUCUAUGCCAACUGUUCCAUGUGUAGAUGGGUUUUUUGAUGUUUUUGGGAGAUGGUGAGCGCCAGGGUUUACCCCUCCACCAUCUCUGUUGUAAAUUUGAGGAUGCAUUUCACUCUGAUUAGACCCCUAGCCUGGGAACCUCCAUACGCUGUGUGCGCAGCCCUAGAAAAGACAAAAAAAAUUUAAAAAUAAAAUCAGACUGCUUGUUAAGUUACAGUAAAAUGUAGUAAGAAACAGGAGGGAGCCUGUCUUUUUUUUAAAACCAGAAUACUUCCAGAGAAGGAAAUUCAUAUAAGACAUCACACUGCGUGUAUGAAUGGGCCAAUGAAAAUUUCAUGGAAAAGUUAGGAAUAGAGGCUGAAAAGUAUAUGCUUCACGAAUCAAAGUCAGACUUGGCAAACAUCUAAGUGCCUAUAUUAUUCCACACACAUUUCCUUAAUUGAUCCUCAACAAUUCUUUGAGGUAGGAAUUACUCUCAUCUGACAGGUAAUCUUCAGUUACUUGUCCACAGUUGGAGCCCUACCCCAAUCCUAGAAUAACUGCUAUGUCUGCUACAUCAUACUAUCUUAAUUAUGUAACAGAUAAUGAUAAAAAAAAUGUUGCCAGUAGGACCUUUAAUUUUAGAUAAUAAGGAUUAAAGAGUAAGAAAUUCUUUUUUUUUGGUCAUUUUUUUAGGGCUGUGACCAAGGCAUAUGGAGGCUCCCAGGCUAGAGGUCGAAUCACAACUGUAGCUGCUGGCCUAUGCCACAGCCACAGGGACACAGGAUCUGAGUCGAGUCUGUGACCACACAGCUCACGGCAAUGGCCGGAUCCUUAACUCUCUGAGAAAGACCAGGGAUCGAACCUGCGUCAUCAUGGAUGCUAGUCAGAUUUACUAACCACUGAGCCACGUGGGAACUCCCAAGAAAUUAUUCUGAUAUUCAGAUAGCAGAUUGAUUUCUUCUGAUUUUCAACAGUCAUAGAAAUAAUUCUCUAAAAAUUGUUGUCCAAUUCAACUGGUACUAACCCGUGUCUCUUUAAACUUAAAAUAUAGCCAGUAUAAUUCAGAAACUGAAUUUUAAUUUAAGUGUUUUAAUAACCAUAUGUGGAUAGUAACUACUCUAGACACAAAUGUACCCCUUUUUUCUUCUCUGCCAAACUUUUUAUGGGAUAGCAAUGCACUAAUAUAUAUUAUGGAGGAAGCAGCCAAGUUUCCUUUUGAUUAUGGAAGCUGUAGCUUCAAAUGCAAUCAUUUCAAAUAUUUUCCUAAAGAGUUAAUUUACUAGCCUCACUACAAAUACUAACUACAAAGUAAUAAAACUACCCACAUCCAAC